UCUCACACUGGACCGCUCGUUUUACAGCCUAACACAUGCAAGUCGAACGGCAGCACAGGAGAGCUUGCUCUCUGGGUGGCGAGUGGCGGACGGGUGAGGAAUACAUCGGAAUCUACUUUUUCGUGGGGGAUAACGUAGGGAAACUUACGCUAAUACCGCAUACGACCUACGGGUGAAAGCAGGGGAUCUUCGGACCUUGCGCGAUUGAAUGAGCCGAUGUCGGAUUAGCUAGUUGGCGGGGUAAAGGCCCACCAAGGCGACGAUCCGUAGCUGGUCUGAGAGGAUGAUCAGCCACACUGGAACUGAGACACGGUCCAGACUCCUAC
rnacentral:rRNA from 1 species